rnacentral:rRNA from 1 species
UGCGUAGGCUGUUUGGCAAGUUGGAAGUGAAAGCCCGGGGCUCAACCCCGGAAUUGCUUUCAAAACUGCCAGACUCGAGUCCGGGAGAGGAUAGCGGAAUUUCCAGUGUAGUAGUGAAAUACGUAGAUAUUGGAAGGAACACCAGUGGCGUAAGCGGCUAUCUGGACCGGUACUGACGCUGAGGCACGAAAGCGUGGGGAUCAAACA